rnacentral:rRNA from 1 species
UGGGGAAUUUUGGACAAUGGGCGAAAGCCUGAUCCAGCCAUGCCGCGUGUGUGAAGAAGGCCUUCGGGUUGUAAAGCACUUUCGGACGGAACGAAAUCGCGCGGGCGAACACCCCGCGCGGAUGACGGUACCGUAAGAAGAAGCACCGGCUAACUACGUGCCAGCAGCCGCGGUAAUACGUAGGGUGCGAGCGUUAAUCGGAAUUACUGGGCGUAAAGGGUGCGCAGGCGGCCUCGCAAGUCGAGUGUGAAAGCCCCGGGCUUAACCUGGGAAUGGCGCUCGAAACUACGAGGCUGGAGUGUGGCAGAGGGAGGUGGAAUUCCACGUGUAGCGGUGAAAUGCGUAGAGAUGUGGAGGAACACCGAUGGCGAAGGCAGCCUCCUGGGCCAACACUGACGCUCAUGCACGAAAGCGUGGGGAGCAAACAGGAUUAGAUACCCCGGUAGUCC